AACGAACGCUGGCGGCAUGCCUAACACAUGCAAGUCGAACGAGAUCUUCGGAUCUAGUGGCGCACGGGUGCGUAACGCGUGGGAAUCUGCCCCUUGCUUCGGAAUAACAGUGAGAAAUUACUGCUAAUACCGGAUGAUGUCUUCGGACCAAAGAUUUAUCGGCAAGGGAUGAGCCCGCGUAGGAUUAGGUAGUUGGUGGGGUAAUGGCCUACCAAGCCGACGAUCCUUAGCUGGUCUGAGAGGAUGAUCAGCCACACUGGGACUGAGACACGGCCCAGACUCCUACGGGAGGCAGCAGUGGGGAAUAUUGGACAAUGGGCGAAAGCCUGAUCCAGCAAUGCCGCGUGAGUGAUGAAGGCCUUAGGGUUGUAAAGCUCUUUUACCAGGGAUGAUAAUGACAGUACCGGGAGAAUAAGCUCCGGCUAACUCCGU
rnacentral:rRNA from 1 species